rnacentral:lncRNA from 10 species
GUCUGCAUCAACAACUUCUGGAAGCAGAGAGUCCCUGAACCUUGGAGCAAGGAGAGAUGUAACAUACAGCCUCGGAGGGGUUGGAGGAGAGGUCCAUGGAGAUCACCUGGCUCAGCCUUCUCGUUUUCCAGAUGAUUUUUUUUAGUCCAAAGAGACUAAAUGACUUGACUAAGGCCACACAGCAUGUCAGCGGGCCAGCUAGGACUCCACCCACAGCCCCUGAGUCUGGGGAUCCCUGUGCUCUUGGCUCUGAGCAAGGCUGCCUCACUUCAUUUUAGUUUAGUCUGUGUGACUUGAGCACAAGUUCUGCACACAAAACUGUGCAAGGCCACUAAUAGCACUCACAGAGCAGUGCUAUCCCUUCCUUCCUUUGAAAUGGUGGAGGUGGAGACAGUACAUACAAGAGUUACUCAAGACAAGGAUGAGGGUGCAGGGAGGAAGCCGAGCCCUUCCAUGCCACCUCUGAGACA